rnacentral:rRNA from 1 species
UACAGAGGGUGCAAGCGUUGUUCGGAAUUACUGGGCGUAAAGCGCGUGUAGGUGGCGAUGUAAGUCGGGUGUGAAAUCCCUUGGCUUAACCAAGGAAGUGCAUUCGAUACUGUGUCGCUUGAGUACUGGAGGGGAUGGCGGAAUUCCCGGUGUAGAGGUGAAAUUCGUAGAUAUCGGGAGGAACACCUGUGGCGAAGGCGGCCAUCUGGACAGUCACUGACACUGAGACGCGAAAGCGUGGGUAGCAAACAGG